GACGAACGCUGGCGGCGUGCUUAACACAUGCAAGUCGAACGGAAAGGCCCUGCUUGCAGGGUGCUCGAGUGGCGAACGGGUGAGUAACACGUGGGUGAUCUGCCCCUUACUCUGGGAUAAGCCUGGGAAACUGGGUCUAAUACUGGAUAGGACCAUGCUGUCGGUGGUGUGGUGGAAAGAUUAGUUUCGGUAAGGGAUGAGCUCGCGGCCUAUCAGCUUGUUGGUGGGGUAAUGGCCUACCAAGGCGUCGACGGGUAGUCGGCCUGAGAGGGUGGACGGCCACAUUGGGACUGAGAUACGGCCCAGACGACUACGGGGGGCAGCAGUGGGGAAUAUUGCACAAUGGGCGCAAGCCUGAUGCAGCGACGCCGCGUGGGGGAUGACGGCCUUCGGGUUGUAAACUCCUUUCAGCCAUGACGAAGCCCUUGUGGUGACGGUAGUGGUAGAAGAAGCACCGGCUAACUACGUG
rnacentral:rRNA from 1 species